rnacentral:lncRNA from 1 species
CUAAGAGCAAAUGAACGAGAGAUAGAACUCAAAGAAUGGGUUCUUUGAGAGACAAGAUAAUAAUCAACAGAUAUAACAACCUAGUUCCUAUACCAAAAGCUCCAAGGUAGUCAAGAAGGAUUUAUAAACCGUCUUAGUUGAAUGGUUUAAACUUUAUGACUAUGUCAUAGAGUUGCACCUCUUAAUUCGAAAGAAAUAAGAAUGAAAAUCCUUAUGACUACAUUGAGUGUAUAUACGAUAUAUACUCAAGGAAAUGGUAAAGUACCAUUUGACCCGAAAUAUGAAACCUUCAUAAGCUAAUUGGUAGCUUAAGGUAACUACACUUUGAAGAAACCAUCUUUGACGUAGUCUUGGUUUCAAUUAAUUCGAAAUAGCUAGCUACAACUAAAUGUGAUCAAUUUUGAACAUAAUAUGGGUUUCGAAACCAUUAUUAAGAUAGUCUUAAUAAUAUAUGUCUAAAACUAUGAAUCACAAGACAUGUAAUUUGUAGAGAUCCAUCCAUCAUGAAUCAAAGCAAGCUAGUGGGAGCUAUGAGCAUUUUAUGAGAAAAGGAUCAAAUCAUUUGAUUUCUCAUAAAGAUGUAAAUGAAUCUUUUGUUUACUAGGUUUACAAAAGAUUAGUGGAGUUAAUCAUAUUCUAAAAUUUAACAUAUAUAUGAUAUAUUAAUUUUGGAAAUGAAAAGAAUACUUCUUCGUUAAAGUUAUGACUUUUAAAGAACAUUAUGAGAUAAAUGUAUAUGGGAGACAUAGUCUAUAUACAUGGGAUGGAAAUCUAUAUUGAUAGAUUUUAGGAUAUAAUUGGAU